rnacentral:rRNA from 1 species
GACGAACGCUGGCGGCGUGCUUAACACAUGCAAGUCGAACGAAGUGGCGAACGGGUGAGUAACGCGUAAUCAACCUGCCCUUCAGAGGGGGACAACAGUUGGAAACGACUGCUAAUACCGCAUACUGAAGGAGGGGAUUGCGUCUGAUUAGCUAGUUGGAGGGGUAACGGCCCACCAAGGCGAUGAUCAGUAGCCGGGCUGAGAGGAUGAACGGCCACAUUGGGACUGAGAAACGGCCCAGACUCCUACGGGAGGCAGCAGGGGGGAAUCUUCCGAAAAGGACGAAAGGCUGACGGAGCAACGCCGCGGGGUGGAUGACGGCCUUCGGGUUGUAAAGCUAUGUUAAUCGGGACGCGGUACCGGAAUAGAAAGCAACGGCUAACUACGUGCCAGCAGCCGCGGUAAUUC